GUUCCGCUGUGUGUGGAUGUUGUUUAGCACUAAAGACAAGUAUGUUUACUUGUGUGUGGAUGAUGUUUGGCACCAGGGACAUAUCCAUCA
rnacentral:pre_miRNA from 1 species